rnacentral:lncRNA from 1 species
UGUUUAGCCAUGAUUUUUCUUGAGAUUUAUUGAAUCAUUUUUGAAUUGAUGUGGAUUUGUUUAUUCUGUUGCUUCAAUGAGUUUCGAAUUUGCAUGCCUUGCCUUAUAUGAUUUGUGAAAUAAAAUUGGUUGAUGCUAUUGACAUGGGACCACUUGUAUAUUGUUCUUAAUUGAUUGAUAUUGAUUCAUGUCAAUUUUCAUGUUCUG